UACAGAGGCCCCAAGCGUUACCCGGAAUCACUGGGCGUAAAGGGUGCGUAGGCGGUUGUGUUAGUCGUCUGUUAAAGCCUCGGGCUCAACCCGAGAUCUGCAGACGAAACGGUACAACUUGAGGAUGUGAGGGGUGUACGGAACUCAUGGUGUAGGGGUGAAAUCCGUUGAUAUCAUGGGGAACACCGAAAGCGAAGGCAGUACACUGGCACAUUUCUGACGCUGAGGCACGAAAGCGUGGGUAGCGAACGGG
rnacentral:misc_RNA from 1 species